rnacentral:rRNA from 1 species
AGCAGCCGCGGUAAUUCCAGCUCCAAUAGCGUAUAUUAAAGUUGUUGCAGUUAAAAAGCUCGUAGUUGAAUUUCGGGAUCAAUAUAUCGGUCAUGCUUAGGUAUGUACUGGUAUUAUUGAUUUCUCCCUUCUGAAGAACCAUGAUGUCAUUAAUUUGGUGUCGUGGGGAAUCAGGACUGUUACUUUGAAAAAAUUAGAGUGUUUAAAGCAGGCAUACGCUUGAAUACAUUAGUAUGGAAUAAUGAAAUAGGACGUUUGAUUCUAUUUUGUUGGUUUCUAGGAUCGACGUAAUGAUUAAUAGGGAUAGUUGGGGGCAUUAGUAUUCAAUUGUCAGAGGUGAAAUUCUUGGAUUUAUUGAAGACUAACUACUGCGAAAGCAUUUGCCAAGGAUGUUUUCAUUAAUCAAGAACGAAAGUUAAGGGGAUCGAAGACGAU